GAUGAACGCUGGCGGCGUGCCUAAUACAUGCAAGUCGAGCGAACAGACGAGGAGCUUGCUCCUCUGACGUUAGCGGCGGACGGGUGAGUAACACGUGGAUAACCUACCUAUAAGACUGGGAUAACUUCGGGAAACCGGAGCUAAUACCGGAUAAUAUAUUGAACCGCAUGGUUCAAUAGUGAAAGACGGUUUUGCUGUCACUUAUAGAUGGAUCCGCGCCGCAUUAGCUAGUUGGUAAGGUAACGGCUUACCAAGGCAACGAUGCGUAGCCGACCUGAGAGGGUGAUCGGCCACACUGGAACUGAGCCGCGGUCCAGACUCCUACGGGAGGCAGCAGUAGGGAAUCUUCCGCAAUGGGCGAAAGCCUGACGGAGCAACGCCGCGUGAGUGAUGAAGGUCUUCGGAUCGUAAAACUCUGUUAUUAGGGAAGAACAAAUGUGUAAGUAACUAUGCACGUCUUGACGGUACCUAAUCAGAAAGCCACGGCUAACUACGUG
rnacentral:rRNA from 1 species